rnacentral:lncRNA from 1 species
AUGGUAAGGUUGGAUGACUUUUUAGAUUUGAAGAUAUUUGUCUUCCUGCAACAUAAACUCUUUUCUGUGUCUCUCAGUUUUCAACGAGUCCUAUGCCACAUGCUUGAAGUGAAAGGGACUGAACUCCCUAUUAAGCAGGAAGAAGCAAGUUUUGCCAAUGAUGAAUCAGCCUACAAACUGAGGAAAAGCAGGAGUUUGAACAGGAACACAUUAAGACCAGCAUGAAGAGAUCUAAGGACCCUGCUCUCCAGGAAACAGCUGUAAUUAAUGAAAAUUAUAUUAAAACAACCAUUUCACAUCUCUGAAACAACCAUUUCACAUCUCUAAGGGCAUAUGCAAAUAAAGAAAAUUUUAUUCAAGAAAAUUUACCACAUCUCAGUAAGAACGCCAAGAGUCUGGCCCUUGAGCCACCACCACUCCUGUCCUCAUUCAUCCAUAUUUCCAUAUUUCAGUGCAAUGCCUGAAGCUCCAAUCUGGGUGGAUGGCCAAGAAAACAAGGUUCCUCAACUCUCAGCCUCCAGUUAAGUAAUACGUUAUCUUACCAAGAAGGGCAGACCAACAGCAUUUCUCAUCCCCUCCAGCUCCAAGUUGCUGAGGCUAAAUUCUAGAUAACUGUGAUCAAAAUCCACUGUCUCCUUUCCUCCACUCUUCUCACACUUUUAGAGGCACAGGCUUGGCCCCAAAUGUGGCAGGCUGAAAGUAAUCAGAUCAUGACUG